GAAAAGGAGUCAGCAGGUACUGACAUUUGAAAACUCUGAAAGGAUGGGCAGCAGGGAUUCGUUUCAGGAAGAAAAGCAAUAUGUUGUGAUCACAGAAGACUCUGAAUAACUAAUCUCAUUUCAACAUCACAGUAGCCCAAUGAGUUUUACAAGAAAAGAUUUUUGUGAGGCUGGAUGGGAGAAGUCAUUAGUGAUGGAAACGAUCCAGAAGGAAUCAUUGAAGAGAUGGCCUCUGAAUUAGACAAGCUCACUGAAUUAGGAGUGUAUAUUGAACAGAAGUUCCAGAGAGCACCAUAAUGCCCAUUUGACUACUUGCUUCCAUAUCAACCCCUUAUUGGAAUUUCAUGACUAUCCUCCAUCACAUUCUCCAUUUAAAGAGAUGUAGUUAUACUGAAAGCUAGUCUUGAUUUGCUCUGAUAGCUGUGCUAUUUGUGUUCUUCUAUCUAUUUUUCCAAGUUUUUGUGUCACCUCACUUUGCUGUCAGAUGUCACCUCUCACUGCUGUUAAUGCUUCUGCCCUUGACAGCAAUUCUCUCCACUUCUAAUUUGUUGCCUCAAACUUGUUGUGAGCUUAGAAAACAAACAACCAGGCUUGUCAGAAUUAUCUAUAAAGUCACAACAAAUAGGUUCUGGGAGAAGACCUGAGGACUUUCAUAUAAAUAAAUUAAAUGACCUUCAGUGCUUUGUGACACCCAUCAUGGAUGACCAGAGUUCUUUCUUUUCUACUUGCUUCCUGAUUCUUGGUUCUGUACUGGAAAGAAGACAAUCCUGGAUAUAAAGUAUUACUGUACUGUUUGAGUGGACCUACAUUAUUAUUUGGCAGCUUUAAGUGUAGGAGAGCACAGUUCAAAUGUUAAAAAAGGCCUGCUUCUGUGAAAUUUGUAUUCACUGUCUACUUUCCCCACAUUCCAGGAAGAGUAUGUUAGAGAUUGUUAAAUGAACAACCACUGCUUUUCUUUUUCAAAAUGAGACAAAUAAUACUCACCAUUUUUGUAUAACCAUCAAGUUAAGAUCAUAAGGUCAAACUUAA